rnacentral:lncRNA from 1 species
AUGGCUAUUGUCUUAAGUGACGGUGGCCGGGAUGGUAGCAUACGCCUGGGUUUCUGCUAGGGUCAGCCAGAGUUUCUAGGUAAUCACAAACACCUUCCAGAUGCCUAAGACUCCCUGUGACCUGCCUAUCCAAAUCUGCAUAUCGUUCAUUUAGGCUUGUGGAGAAGUUUUCGAUCCGCUCAUUUUGGGUUUGAAGUUGACUGGUAAUUUGAGCAAGUCGGUCAUCCUGGGAUUCCAUGAAGGUUUGUUGGGCAAGUUGCAUGCUUUGCAUCAUCUCCAACAGCUCUGAAGAGUCAACAGGAUGUGGAGGGGAUGGAAGAAAUUCUUCAUCAGGAUGGUGAUACGGUUGGUAAGAUUCACGUCGAGUUGUCCAACCCGUAUGUUGCCAUUCACCCCAGCCACCCCAUCGUGGAACAGCUUCUUCAUAUGUAUCCGGCUGCUGUACCCAAGCAGAGCCGGAGUAGUCGUAUGUGCCAAUGGGUGAAGGACUGUCGUCUCCACCAUUGUGAGCAUUAUCGUGCCUUGCUUCUUCUUCUUCAUCUUCUUCUUCUUCUUCAUUUUCCACUUCAUCGUCCUGUUCUUCGCUUUCAUCACUGUCAGCCCUUGGAGGAACGUAUCCUCUUCUAACAAACUUAUAUUUCUU